rnacentral:rRNA from 1 species
CCUACGGGAGGCAGCAGUAAGGAAUAUUGGGCAAUGGACGCAAGUCUGACCCAGCCAUGCCGCGUGAAGGAAGACGGCCCUAUGGGUUGUAAACUUCUUUUCUCAGGGGGUAAACUCUGGAACGUGUUCCGGACUGAAAGUACCUGAGGAAUAAGCAUCGGCUAACUCCGUGCCAGCAGCCGCGGUAAUACGGAGGAUGCGAGCGUUAUCCGGAUUCAUUGGGUUUAAAGGGUGCGCAGGCGGAUAUAUAAGUCGGAGGUGAAAUUCUGAUGCUCAACAUCAGCCGUGCCUUCGAUACUGUAUAUCUAGAGUCAAGUUGGAGUAGGCGGAAUGUGUUGUGUAGCGGUGAAAUGCUUAGAUAUAACACAGAACACCGAUCGCGAAGGCAGCUUACUAAACUUUGACUGACGCUCAUGCACGAAAGCGUGGGGAUCAAACAGGAUUAGAUACCCUGGUAGUCCACGCUGUAAACGAUGAUUACUCGCUGUUGGCGAUACACAGUCAGUGGCUAAGCGAAAGUGAUAAGUAAUCCACCUGGGGAGUACGACGGCAACGUUGAAACUCAAAGGAAUUGACGG